GAAUUAAAGGCUUUAAACUUUCUCACUGAUUUUCACUUUCUCUUCUCCGAUUCUGAGUUUCUUUACUGUUCGAGGUUAAGCUUGGAUUUCUAAAUGGAUAGACAAGGUUCUUGUUUGGUUUGCUAGUCCUUAGAAGGUCAGUGUACACUGACCCUCCCUUUCUCUCAAUUGUUUGUAUUAUUUUGUGCUUAUCAUGUCUUUUUCUGUUGAUUAUCUUUUGUUUAUUAGUUCGUGGUCAAUUAUCAUGUCUUGCUCUCAUGUGUUAGCCUUAUUAUUUGAGCCAAUUGUUUUCUGAUAAUCUAUGACUUUUCCAAGGUUAGGUGGUUAUUCUGCGCUAAGCAACUUAAUAAACUUUGCCGGAUAAAUGCUUCCUAAAAGUAAAAUACCUAAGUUCCACUGAACUUCUGCAAUUAGCUAAGAGAUUGUGAUAAUUCUACGUGAGUUUAUCAGCAGUACUAUUAUGUUUGUUAGCCUAAUUCAUGUUGUGUCCUCAAAGUUUCCUUGACAUCUUGUUGAGAGUCAUACCUGCUAUAUCUAUGCUUGGAUUAGUAAUGUUGUACCACUUUUAAUUCAACUGAAUGACCCUCAUUAUAGUAUCCAUGCCAUACACCUAACUUACCUGUUUAACUGAUCUGAUAUUGAAACCAUGUCUACCCUGUGCAUGUAAAACUCACAUAUUCUUGUGAUUUGAACUUCUGUAAUGAAUUCACUAACUUGUUUAUUAGACAAUUUUCUCAUUUGAUAUGAUUUGUAACCUUGCAGCCAUUUAGAAAUAUCAUUGUGCAUAUGUUUGAGUAUCUUCGGUUAGCUUUUAUACUUUUGUUUGCUCAUGAACUUCCUGUUUGCUUUUCCCAUUCAAGUAAGACUCAUGCUUAAGCUAUUACACUCUUCACUUAAAACUGUGCUAUCCUAUAGAAGAAGGAGUUGAACUACCUAUUUUAAUAUCUUAACAACAUAUAAUCUGGAAUGUAAGACAAUUGUUGUCAUUUGUGGACCUAAGGAAACUCAUUGAUCUUUGUUUGUCUUGUUUAAAGGAAUGUAGUACUAUACUUAGUUGAUAUCCUUGGCUGUGAAAGCUUAACUGUAACUUUGGACAUUGGUUGAGACAUGAUAGGUUAGAGACCAUGCUAUUAAGUUUAAAUUAGAUCAAAAUUGAUUCUGUAGGGAUACUUCUACUGUUUGUUACCACUUCAAGGGAGUCUGAGCAAGAAUGUUAAUAUAAGUACUCGAUGUAGGGAGAAUUCAACCAUGUGUGUGGGAACUUUGGAUUGUUAUGAAUACAAUCUAAAUAGUUGUUAAAGUGUUGUGAACUUAAUUAAGGAUUCCUAUAAGUUUGGACCUACCAAUACAACCAAUGAAGUUAGUAUGCAUGUCUUCCUACACCCCCAGGAUCACUUAAACUCAGCAUCUUUAAACUUGGAAUAGUCUACUGUUGGUUACUCUGAAAAUAUCCUUGUUCUGCACCUGUGAUUAAUUUCUUUAAAUAUUUUAAUUCAUGUUAUAAAUGAAUGCUGAGUAUCUCUGGACAUUGUUAGUAUCUGCUGUAAUUGACCUUCACCUUCUAGGUUCUAAUUAUAAAGUUAAUGGUGUAAUUCCUAAGGUGUUCAUGGUUGUGCACCAUGAUAGUGCUCUCCAUAGCUUCUGAACUUUGUGUACUUGAAACUUUUGUACCUGCUGUUGUUCUCAUGUUAAUUAUUAAGUGAAUACAUUAUUUUUAACUAAACCUUUGAGGAAGAGUGAGUGUGAGUGAUUAAGGGUAUUUGGGUUGGUACCUAGUUUGUGGCUAAGAUGCCAUUCUCUGACAUAGGCACUGCUCGGAGUCCCUAAGACCCUUGUGAACUCUAAAGUGCCAGGGAUUCCAAGGGUACCUUGUCCAUGAAUGAGGCCUUAUCCUAAUCUCUUGGUCAUUAAAUCUUAUUAAUCCUCCUAGGAUUAAUACAAAUAGAAAUUGGCAUUAAUUGUAAUUAGUGUCUGUUACAGUCUUGUCUUGUUGGGCCUUGUGAUUUUUUUUUUGUUACAAUCUUAGUCAUAUUUAUAUGUUUUAAUUUUAUUCUGUUGGGGCCUCAUGUGGAUUUCACUAAUUGUUUUCAUCUCUUUUGUAUGCAUGAACUCGACUUGGGCCCAUCGAGCCCAUCUGGAGCUAAAUCCCACCAUCCGAUUAUGAGUGGUCGCAUUUCCUGUUUAGUCCACUAUUCAUGCACAUUAUGUUGGGCCUGAACAUUUGCUGGCCCAAUUCAACGAUUUCGAGUCAUUCGGAGGUUAAUUCACGCAAGAUGGCAUUUCUAGAGUAUUGUUUGGCUUGCUCGAUAUUUGAUUUGGCUUGUUUGUGAUCUUGGAGCUGAUAUUACUGCACAUGAAGGAAGCUGGCAUUGAAGAUGUUCCCAUUGUCCGGAUAUUGCUACCACUUUUUCUUGGUAGUUUUAGAUUUGAGUUCUGUUUAUGUAUAUUUCAAGCUGAUGUUGUAAUUAUGUUUCAUACCAGCUUUGUAAAUCUAAAGUCUUAGUAGCUCAUUGCUUGUAUUGCCAA